AGAUUCAUGUCAGAUUCUGCUGACUGCUGGCAGGAGCCGUGCGGCCCAGGCAGCGCUGGCGGUGCAGGCUGUCUGGCUUCGGCCUCCCGGUGAGCGCGUGGCGGAGCCGCCGGAGGCGCAGGCGGCGGGUGCGGCCGCCGGCCGGGGAAGGAAGGCACGGCAUGCAGAGAAGGAUGAUUCUUUUCAGCAUUCAGAGCAUUGAACACCAUAUUUGCCAUCGAGAAAUUGCAAUAGCUGGUGAAGCAAUCAGAUGAACACACUUCUGAAGGGGGUGGCAUGCUUGUUAUCAGCCCAAGUAACUCAUCCGAACUGAUACCAAGCCCUUUCUCUACUGAAGCAUUUUUCUGGAUUUAAAAAAGAUCUCUAGUUUGCAGUGCAUGACACAUGAGCCAGAAACAAUAAAUUUAAAAUAGCUAGGAAAAUGGCGAGCACCAAGCAAGUAGCCCCAAAAGCAUCACUGUCAUCAGAUCUUAAACGGUGCAAGAAAAAGUGGGUAAGCUGAUACAAGUCAGCAUGAUCUGAAGCAGUCGUCUUAUAUCUGAUAAGAAUCAAAGGACCACAAAAUACAAUCAGGGUCUAAAGAAUUACUACAGAAAGCUGACCCAGAGAUCUGAAUGACACAGACUGGCUCACUAAUCGCUAGCGGCUGAGUCUGGUGUCAUUCCUGAACCCAGCUACUGCACACGGAAGACCCGGAAUCUACAAGACAUGCAGGCAGUUCUAUUCCUCCACAAAAGAAUGGUUACAGGCAUGCAUGAAAAGGGCUUGUCGCUUGAGAUUCAAUGAAAGGAGCACCCUGUGCUUGCACGUAUGGUUUUUUCUUUUCCCUUCUGUCACCGACAGUUUGAGCUGUCAGAGAAUGAAACUCUGCCGUGCAGUCAGAAACGCGCCUCCUCCAAUGGUACGACCUAGCUCUAAACACUCUAAGAGACAACUCUUCCAAUAAUCUUACUCUUAGCACAUAGCU